rnacentral:rRNA from 1 species
UACGUAGGGGCCAAGCGUUGUCCGGAUUUAUUGGGCGUAAAGAGCUCGUAGGCGGUCCGGUAAGUCAGCUGUGAAAGUCAAGGGCUCAACCCUUGAAAGCCGGUUGAUACUGUCGGGCUAGAGUCCGGAAGAGGCGAGUGGAAUUCCCGGUGUAGCGGUGAAAUGCGCAGAUAUCGGGAGGAACACCAAUGGCGAAGGCGGCAUCCUGGACCGGUAUUGACGCUGAGGCGCGAAAGCUAGGGUAGCAAACGGG